rnacentral:tRNA from 1 species
GUGGUUGCAGCUCAAUGGUAUAGCCCUUGCCUAGCAGGCAGGAGGCCCUUGGAUCAAAACCUAGCAACACACA